UACGUAGGGUGCGAGCGUUGUCCGGAAUUACUGGGCGUAAAGAGCUCGUAGGUGGUUUGUCGCGUUGUCCGUGAAAACUCACAACUCAAUUGUGGGCGUGCGGGCGAUACGGGCAGACUGGAGUACUGCAGGGGAGACUGGAAUUCCUGGUGUAGCGGUGAAAUGCGCAGAUAUCAGGAGGAACACCGGUGGCGAAGGCGGGUCUCUGGGCCGAUACUGACGCUGAGGAGCGAAGGCGUGGGGAGCGAACAGG
rnacentral:rRNA from 1 species